AGCUCUGUUGUGAUUCACUCUUUUGGUCUCACAGGAACACUCAAAGGAUCAUUAUUCAACACUCCCUCUUGAGCCUUUGAGUUGUUCCCUUGAUUCCAACUUAGGGUUUUGAAUUUCAAUACCCUUGGUUCUUCUUUCUUCAUUACCUUGCUCUUCAGAACAUCAGCAUAGCUUCUGGAUGCUUAGCUGAGGAGUCUCUACUCCCUCCAUUCUUCUGAAUUUCACAAUCGGAUGAUUUCGGAUUCUGAUGACUGAAUCCAAUGCUUUGAACUCCUCUUGCACUUCUGCCAAUUAUCCCGUCGAUCAGCUUCUUCUCCAUCUCUUUCAAAGAUAAGUUUCCUUUUGUUGAUUUGUAUCACUCUUGAUUACCAUCUUAGUAAAUCUGGUCUCUUGAACAACCUCCUUGGUUUUUUUAAUCUCCAUUUCUCUUUUGUUGAACUCAGUCUUCCUCUGAUUCUCAACAUUGAUCAUCGGCUUCUUCUCCUUUCUUGUUGCAGACUUCUCUUCAGGUUUCCAUUGCAGUGGCAUCGUUGAGCUUGAGGCUUCAGCAUACCCUGCUCCAUGACAACUUGAUUCAGCCUCUUCUUUUGAUGCUGCCUUUGCUAUUCCUUCACUCAAGGGCAUGUGAAGGUGGAAGCUUUUCUUGGCCAUUUCUACUUCAGCGAUCUUUCUUCCAGCUUGAUUGAGGAUAAUGCAGCUUCUGUGCUUGAAGUCAUGACUUCUAUGUCUCCUUUUCCUUUAGUCAUUAAUGCCGUUCCAUCACCAAUUUGGAUUGGAACCCUGAAGUUUGCAUCAAGUCUGGUGAAAAGCCUUUCAUUCGGAGUCAUGUGGUUUGUGCAGCCACUGUCGAUGAGCCAUGUGGUUUCUUCGAAGGGGCUUUCCAUCUUCUUGUCUUGCAGAGAACAUAUGGUGAAGCAGCUCCUUGUAUCUCUGCUUCGUUUAAACUCAGGUUCUUAACCCGAGCAUGGAAGGCUCCUUCAGCGUUUUCUUCAUCUUCAUCUGGGAAAAACUUUUUCUCAUGAGCUUCUAGAGAGCCUAUCAGCUCUGCAUAGGAAUGUUCAAGCAGAUCCGAAGCUUCUUUUGCGGUAGUUGCAGAGAGGAUCUUGUCAAAGAUGGUGUCGGCUACAGCAUAUUGGAUGAUUUGGAGUGCAGCUGUAUCUUUGGUUUUGAGUGCCUUCAGGUUUGUAACUUCUUUAGACUUGUCUGCUCCAGGUGUUUCAGGUGAUUUUAAUGAAGGGUCUGGAAGUCCUUCAUUGACGAUCUCCCAUAGCUCCUUGUGCAUCAGAGUCGUCCGCAUCCUUGCUGCCCAGAACUCAUAGUUCUGUCCAUCAAAAACAGCUACUGACUGAGAUGACUGCAGGCUCCAAGGACAACUAGAGCUCUGAUACCAUGUUGUGAUUCACUCUUUUGGUCUCACAGGAACACUCAAAGGAUCAUUAUUCAACAAGCUCCGGUCGAAAUCACUUUGUCUUUGACCGAAGAAAACACGAUCACAGACGACUAAAACGGUCAAGCCGUGGCUGUAGGACUGAAGGGUCAUUCUCAUCCAUUCUCCAUAUGCUCGGGGUCUGGAAAGAUCCAGAGAAGUCAACAUCAAUCUCUGCAAUGGGGACAGGAAAAAGCGACGGCGUAUAACAAACGCCGCUUGUCCCAGGGAAUACCAUUUUUUGGCACGACCAUUGUGUAGAGCUCCAGGAACAUUACCAACAAAAGUUCAAACUGCAAAAAAGGAAAACGUGACUGAACACUGCACUAAGGACUAGCUUGAUGGAAUAAAGUACCAAAGCACACACUUAUGAGAAAGAGAUUAACGGCACCAACGUUGAGAGUGUGAGAGGACAAAGCUAUGUUUUUGAAGAGCGUCUGAUGAAAUUGGUUCACACUACGCGUACCAAUACCACAUUCGGAGAAGUGAGGAUUUCGCCAAUUGGUGAAGAAUUAUCGUUGCUGUUUAGAGGCAUGACUUAUAUUGGCAUUUCAGUUGAAAUUUUUCUGCUAAGUAAAGGGAGUUCUUUCAUUUCAUGUUUUGUUGACAUUUGUGAGAACGUGGCUAGAGAGAUCGGCAAUCACAUAUCACUUCAGCACCCUAAUAUCAUUCAGUUUAAG